GACGAACGCUGGCGGCGUGCCUAAUACAUGCAAGUGAAGUUCAGUGGCGGACGGGUGAGUAAUACGUGGGUAACCUGCCCUCCUUUUUGGGCUAAGCCUUGGAACUGGGGUCUAAUACCGAAUAAAGGGGGAUGGGCUCGCGGCCUUUCAGCUUGUUGGGGGGGUGAUGGCCUACCAAGGCGGUGACGGGUGGCCGGACUGAGAGGCUGACCGGCCAAGUUGGGACGGACAGACGGCCCAGGCACGUACGGGAGGGAGUAGUGGGGGAAAGUGAACAAGGGGCGAAAGGCUGAUGCGGCGACGCGGCGUGGGGGAUGAGGGCUUUCGGGUUGUAAACCUCGUUCGCAAGCGAACUGGUAGGUGGAGAAGAAGCGCCGGCUAACUACGUGCCAGCAGCCGCGGUAAUUC
rnacentral:rRNA from 1 species